UACGUAGGUGGCAAGCGUUGUCCGGAUUUACUGGGCGUAAAGAGCGCGGCAGGCGGUUGUGCAAGUCGCGUGUGAAGCCCCGGCUCACUGGGGAGGGUCACGCGAUACGUGCUCAACUCGGAAGGCAGGAGAGGGAAGUGGAAUUCCCGGUGUAGUGGUGGAAAUGCGUAGAUAUCGGAGGAACACCAGUCGGCGGAGGCGAAGCUUCCGUGUCCUGGUUCCUUACGCGUGAGGCUGCGG
rnacentral:rRNA from 1 species